rnacentral:lncRNA from 1 species
GACCAUGAACCUCAGAAUUUUUAUUGGAGGGCCAUCCCGCCCAUUGCUCUCUCCCCACUCCACACCACCCUCCUUCCCUCCCUGUCGAGAUUUAAAUCAAAAAGGGAUUGGCCAUGUUCUCCGAUUCAGUGAUACUUCUUCUAAGAUCAUUGCUCCACAGGAACUCAUGGCACUGCCUGUGUCUGUGCUCAGGCCUGGGGUUGCUGUAUGCUCCUCCCUCCACUGCCCCUCCUCCACCAACCGGAGUCCUGGCUUCUGAGUGCUCCAAUCAUGCUAUCAAGACACA